UCUUUAGUUAAAGUAUUUGUAUAUUUCACAAGAUAAAUGUGUUUAUUUCAUGAUGCGAUGUGUUAAAAUGUUUUAAAAGAAGAAGCAUCAGAGUGACACCUCUUGUCCUGUGAGGAUCAUUCAGUUUCUAUGUGGAGUGAGUGAACCGUAGAGGAUCUUUGACGCGUCUCCGGUGGAGAUGUGAACAACUCUUAACCACGCUGAAUGUGUUCUAAAUGUUUGAACCUUUCGUCUUUGGACUGAGCGAUGUCCAGCUGGUCCAAACUGCGUCUGGGAAGCCUCAGGGCAGAUUUGACCUUGAAAGUAAUGAGGCCCAAGAAUAAGUCUGGGUGAAAUUGUCGAGCAUGAAGCUGAAGAAACUGGACAGCUGGAGAAAACACAAUCGAACAAAAAAUCCGCCAGUGAAAUGAGCUUUUCAAGACAUCGUCCAGAACGUGGCGUCCCGGAGGCUCACCUGUAGCUGGUCCUGUUCCCCGGCAUACUCGAUGGACUGGAAGAUGUUCCACGUGUACCUUCGCCUCAUCUCCAGACGGGCCACGUAGCGGCGGUACCAGCGCUGGAUCAGCACAGCUGCCUUCAUAGCUCGGAAGCCAAUGUGAAUGGAUGGAGGCCUAAAGGUGUGAGGAGGUCUUACGUCCGCAUGUAUCUCGAACUUCUGCUUGUAUGUCAAGACAAAGUUUGCGGGGUAUACAAACCAAUCGGAAGGGCCCCAAGAAGACAAGAUGUCGCAAACCUCCAGCUAAGACGGAACCAAAGUUCCUGUCAUAUCAGCCCCUCCGAAUACCUGUAUCAACCCUUGGCGUGUGAGUCUCUAUGGCAACAGAGGCGCCGCAUCCCAUGAUGACCAGCAGCACUGGUCACAUGAAUGGAGAAAAAGCAGCUUACAUCUGGCAACCA